rnacentral:rRNA from 1 species
GACGAACGCUGGCGGCGUGCUUAACACAUGCAAGUCGAACGGUGAAAGCGGAGCUUGCUCCGCUGGAUCAGUGGCGAACGGGUGAGUAACACGUGGGCAACCUGCCCUUCACUUCGGGAUAACUCCGGGAAACCGGGGCUAAUACCGGAUAUGAAACCUGCGGGCAUCCGCGGGGUUGGAAAGUUUUUCGGUUGAAGAUGAUCUCGCGGCCUAUCAGCUUGUUGGUGAGGUAAUGGCUCACCAAGGCGACGACGGGUAGCCGGCCUGAGAGGGCGACCGGCCACACUGGGACUGAGACACGGCCCAGACUCCUACGGGAGGCAGCAAUGGGGAAUAUUGGGCAAUGGAGGAAACUCUGACCCAGCGACGCCGCGUGCGGGAUGAAGGCCUUCGGGUUGUAAACCGCUUUCAGCAGGGAAGAAGCGAAAGUGACGGUACCUGCAGAAGAAGCACCGGCUAACUAUGUGCCAGCAGCCGCGGUAA